rnacentral:rRNA from 2 species
CCAGACCACCAGCUAAGGUCCCAAAAUAUAUGUUAAGUGGAAAAGGAUGUGGCGUUGCCCAGACAACUAGGAUGUUGGCUUAGAAGCAGCCAUCAUUUAAAGAGUGCGUAAUAGCUCACUAGUCGAGUGACACUGCGCCGAAAAUGUACCGGGGCUAAACAUAUUACCGAAGCUGUGGAUUGUCCUUUGGACAAUGGUAGGAGAGCGUUCUAAGGGCGUUGAAGCAUGAUCGUAAGGACAUGUGGAGCGCUUAGAAGUGAGAAUGCCGGUGUGAGUAGCGAAAGACGGGUGAGAAUCCCGUCCACCGAUUGACUAAGGUUUCCAGAGGAAGGCUCGUCCGCUCUGGGUUAGUCGGGUCCUAAGCUGAGGCCGACAGGCGUAGGCGAUGGAUAACAGGUUGAUAUUCCUGUACCACCUAUAAUCGUUUUAAUCGAUGGGGGGACGCAGUAGGAUAGGCGAAGCGUGCGAUUGGAUUGCACGUCUAAGCAGUAAGGCUGAGUAUUAGGCAAAUCCGGUACUCGUUGAGGCUGAGCUGUGAUGGGGAGAAGACAUUGUGUCUUCGAGUCGUUGAUUUCACACUGCCGAGAAAAGCCUCUAGAUAGAAAAUAGGUGCCCGUACCGCAAACCGACACAGGUAGUCAAGAUGAGAAUUCUAAGGUGAGCGAGCGAACUC